AGGAGGACCGACAGAUGAACGGAUGACCUGCUUGCUGGGCUUCCCAUUACUAAUUCUUGAGACAUGAGGACCACUGACUGGUGAGGGAAUUGCCCUAUGAUGGAUGAGCCUGCCUCAAGCUGCCAUAAGCUGGGAGGACCGACGGUUGACUGACUCUGCCUGCUUGGUUGGCCAUUACCGAUUCUUAAGAGAAAUGAGGACCACUGACUGAUGAGGGAAUUGUCUUGCUGAGAUGAGGAUGAGCCUGCCUCAAGCCAUCGUAAGCUGGGAGGACCGACGAUGGACUGACACCGCCUGCUGGCCUGGCCAUUACUGAUUCUUGAGGACAUGAGGACCACCAAGCUUGGACGAGCCUGGACAAUGACGAAGCUGCUCUACUGGACAAGGAUGCCCUCGUCGGAAACUUGAGUUAAAAAAAAACUAGCUUGCACAAUAUGAAAUGAUAAAUCAUAUACACUAAGGCAACAGCACUAAAAUAAAAUGAAAAGUAAUUUUGAUUUCAUUAAAUUAUUUAUGCCUCUAAAAUAAUCUUAAACCGGAUACUGCAACAGACAGUUAACAAUGGACAAUAAUGGAAACUUGCUGAAAAUUAUUGUAAGGGUAAUAAUUUGUCACUGGCUUUUAAGCAGUGACAUGUCUGGGAGAAGGGGUAUUCCUUUGAUCGGUCCUGGGUCAUCCAAAAUUAUUGCUUCAAUUAGUUAAUAAUUUCAUACUCCUUAUCUUUAAUGCGUUCGAUUGGAUCUUCUCGGUAAAUUAUAAAUGAGGUAUCGCCUAAGGUUUUCUAUCUGCUUUUUGUUCAGUUGACAAUGGAGAAUUUUGCUCUAUAAAUUUAAUUUGAUAUUGAAAGUGCAUAUUUUAGAAACCAAUUUAAGUCAUAAGAGUUUUGAAAGAUUUCAAAAAGGAUUAAUUUAUUGUUUAAAAACUGAAGAAAUGUAACUUUAUUUAAAUUUAACGUCAUUAACAAGACGUCAGUUUAACUAAAACGUGACUUUUUUCCAUUGUAUGUUUAUAAGAAAACACAAGAACGUUUAUUUUUAGGAAAAUUUAAAGAAUAAACUGUUCAGGAACUUCUAUCCAUCAAAAUGCAUUGCAACAGGUAUAAGUGACACUCAAAUUACAUUUGUGUUUGUCCUUUUGUGAUUUA
rnacentral:lncRNA from 1 species